rnacentral:lncRNA from 1 species
CAAGGUAGUUUUUAUUAUUCCGUUUAAAUAAAGGCAAAGAGGAGUUGGUCCAGGCGGCAGUAAUGACGCGAAUCGUUGGCCCUCGGAAGAGCAGCCUGAAUUCCUGAGGGGAAAAGGGCUCCAUGGGAAAGGGGGUUAUUGCUUUUAAAACAAUUUAAAAACAAAAGGGGAUGGGGGGUAAAAUAAGAAGAUGCCUUGGGGAGGGGGAAUCGAAAAGAAGCGGGAGGAGCGGGGGAUUCUCCCCGA